rnacentral:rRNA from 1 species
UCCUUAGAUGUCCGGGGCCGCACGCGCGCUACACUGAAGGAAUCAGCGUGGAUGCCUCCCUGGUCCGAAAGGAUUGGGAAACCCGUUGAAUCUCCUUCGUGCUAGGGAUUGGGGCUUGUAAUUCUUCCCCAUGGACGAGGAAUUCCCAGUAAGCGCGAGUCAUAAGCUCGCGUUGAUUACGUCCCUGCCCUUUGUACACACCGCCCGUCGCUACUACCGAUUGAACGGUUUAGUGAGGGCCUCGGAUUGGUCUCGGCCCGCUCUUUACCGGGCGGCGCCGUUGGUCGAGAAGACGCUCGAACUUGAUCGUUUAGAGGAAGUAAAAGUCGUAACA